rnacentral:rRNA from 1 species
UACGUAGGUGACCAGCGUUGUCCGGAUUUACUGGGCGUAAAGAGCGCGCAGGCGGUCGUUCAAGUCGAGUGUGAAAGCCCCCGGCUCAACUGGGGAGGGUCAUUCGAUACUGAUCGACUCGAAGGCAGGAGAGGGAAGCGGAAUUCCCGGUGUAGUGGUGAAAUGCGUAGAUAUCAGGAGGAACACCGGUGGCGAAGGCGGCUUGCUGGGCCAGUUCUGACGCUGAGGAGCGAAAGCUAGGGUAGCAAACGGG